AAUUUGAGACCUCCAAUUCUCAAAUUGAAAGUUUAAAAAUAAUAAAUUCCGUAUUCAAUUCAAUUGUUCUUUUAGGUUAACCAAAUAAGAAAAUUCACAAAUUCUAAAAUAUAAAAUCUCAUCAUUUCAAUUUCCGUCAUUUUAAAAUUCCUUAGUAAUAUUAAAUUUCUUCAUCCAAACAUAGUGUUAAGAAAUUUUUUAAAGAUACACUAUUUACACUCAUUUUUAUUUCUUACACAUUUAUUAACUUUGUCCAUUGAUUUCUUCAAUUCAUUUUGCCAGUUAUACAAAAAUUGAGAACAGUAUUUAUGAAUUAAAAAUACAUUUGUAGAUGUCACUACCAAAUUUUUAUUCCUAAUUCAAGAAAAUCUUAUCCAUAUAUGAUUGCCCUUGCCCACUUUAAAUGGGUGCCAUCACUUUACGAUAGAGCAAUCCUAACCGUCCACCUAGGUAAGCAUAACUGGCGAUGCAUGUCGCAAGGGGACCGCAUUGCACAAUAUAAUUAUACUAGUUGAUAAGACAAGUGAUGUCAAUCAAUAAAUUAUUUCAUUAAAACUUAGUUGUAUGUAUCAUAUGUUGUAAUGUAGGGUGUAUGAUAUGCUGACGCUGUAAAAAAAUGUAACCUUUUUAAUAUUACUCAUAAUAGUAAGACUUACCAGUAUUAGGAUGUUAUCAGUGGAAUGAGAAUCCUCUCCAGAUCUUUUUUGUGAGCUAUUAUUUGUAUUUAAUUUUAAAUAUAAAAAAUUAAAAUAAUUUAUGACGGCAGUGAUUCACAUGAUCUUCACAAAGAGAAUCCAAAUAAUCUUAAUUUAUAUCAGUGUGUCUAGAUAACAUGAUCGAGCCCCUUUACUUUUACCCUAUUUAGUAUUUUACAUUUGAACCUGUAAAUAUUCGAUUUUUCUUUGGUGCAACCGAGCACCAAAUAUAGAUUUUUUUUCACUUUUAUAUAAUGAUAAAUAAAGGGCAAUUGGCAGAUUUGAAUUCCAUUCGGAUUGGUCAAAAAUCAUUUUAAAUUGUUUUAUUUAAAAUUAAACACAUAUAGUACUUAAUAAAAAUUAGUCGUACAAUAUACGAUAAACAGAUAUAAUGUAAGGACCUUUAUGAUCUUCACAAAAAAGAUCCAAAGGUUGUGUAGCUGUUUCAAAAGGAUAAUACUCACUUUUGAUUAGUUCAAUGAAAUUUUAAACAUGUUUUAUUGUUUUAAAAAAUAAUAAACAUAUUUAUUAAUGUUUGUUUUACUUUAAAAAAUAAGCAGCACUUGACAACAUUUGAUUGUGCUAAAUAAAAAAUGAGUGACCACUUAGUACUACAGUCUUAUGAUAUUUUUCUUCAUUUGAAAGUGAGAGGUUUUAAGUUCGAAUCUCGUGGAUGACGAAUUUGAUAUCAAAUUAGAUUGCUCACUAUGUGGCUUAGCCGAACUCUCAUUUCCUUUAAUGUAAAAAUAUUGAUGUAUUCAAAAAAAUAAAAAGUGACUAUAGAGGACACUCAAUCUCAGCUGUAUGAUUAAAUCAGACGGUAAGAAAAAUUCUGCAAGCAUACUCGGUUACAUUAAUUGAAGAAAAAAUGGGUAAAUAUUGGGCACCAACGUUAUAAAUACCCUCCACCAUGCACCCAACUCCCUCACACCAUCACAACCCACGUUACAAAUCCUCCUCCUCAUCAUAACCAUUCUGUUUUCCGCAUAAUAUCCAAAAACCUAUCAUGUCUGAAGAGAAACACCACCGCGGUCUCUUCCACCACCACAAGGAUGAAGACAAACCCUCAGACUACCCUCAGUCUGGCUACUCUGAUGAAGGACGUCCCGGCGGCCUCGGUGGUGGUUACGGCGACACCAAUGAUUAUUCUGGUGAAGGACGUACCGGCGGCCUAGGUGGUGGCUAUGGCGACACCAAUGCUUAUUCUGGUGAAGGACGUCCCGGCGGCUAUGGCGGCUAUAACGAGACCACUGCUUACUCUGAGGAAAGAGUUGAAAGACCCGGCGGUGGCCGGUACAGUGAGACUACUGCGGCAUAUGGCAGCACCACCACUCAUGAAUCUGAACUUGAUUACAAGAAGGAGGAGAAGCACCACAAGCAU
rnacentral:lncRNA from 1 species